AUAAUGUUAGCAUAGGAUUGAGAGGCAUGUGGAAUUUGACAAUCACAUACUUCAGGUGGUGAGUAAACUGAUCAUGUUGCAUAGCACAUCUGUUCAUUCCAUGCAAAUUAAACUCUAGUCAUCAGUUUUGCUGCUAUUAUUCAAAAAGACAAAUAAAACUCACUCAUUAAUCUAAUUUAGUUAAUUUAUUCUGGUGGGUUUGUAGCCCUCUGGAUGAGCAUAGUUCGAAGAGGCACCGCACACAUUAUUCAAGUUCAUUGCUGGCUCGUAUGGCACCAUGGAUCACCAAUUAGGGCACAAGUUCUCAAUGCGUUCCUAGAAACAAAAGCUAAACUAGAUGCAUGAACUGGUCUGGACACGAGGGCAUCAUCGCAAAUGCAGCAGCACCAUAGAGUUGUGUACCACAUAUUUUUGAGGUGAGUUGUGAUGUUUUGUAGCAUUGUAAUUUAGUAAGACAUUUUAAUAUUUGAUUUUUUGUUUACUAUAUUGAAAACAACAU
rnacentral:lncRNA from 1 species